GCCUAGCUGACUCAAUAGGUAGAGCAUGUGACUUUUAAUCUUGGGGUUGUGAGUUUGAGCCCCAUGUUAGGUA
rnacentral:tRNA from 1 species